GACGAACGCUGGCGGCGUGCCUAACACAUGCAAGUCAACUUGACUGAAGGAGCAAUCUGACAGUAGAGUGGCGCAAGGGUGCGUAACGCGUAAGUAACUUGCCCAAGGUAAGGAAUAACGUCGAGAAAUCGGCGCUAAUACCUCAUAAUGCAGCGGAUCCGCAUGGAUAUGUUGUUAAAGGUUUACCGCCUUGGGAUAGGCUUGCGUCUGAUUAGUUAGUUGGUGUGGUAACGGCACACCAAGGCUACGAUCAGUAACUGGUCUGAGAGGAUGAUCAGUCACACUGGAACUGAGACACGGUCCAGACUCCUACGGGAGGCAGCAGUGAGGAAUAUUGGGCAAUGCUCGAAAGAGUGACCCAGCAACGCCGCGUGGAGGA
rnacentral:rRNA from 1 species